UAGUCAUCUCCCUCACUCUCCAAAGUCCGCACUCAACUCUCUCUUCUCCACUGUCUUCAUCCCUUUAGCUCAAGGAGACGACUUCUCCAUCUCUGUUUCUUCUUCCUGUUCGUGCCUUGGACAACACAACUCAGCAAGAUGUUUGCUCAUGGUGAAACUGUUUAAGGAAGCUGAAGGACAACCGAAAUAAGUAACCGAACUGAACCAUUAAACUUCAGUUUGGUUUCAGUUCAGUUUAUCGCAUACUUCGGUCCGGUCCGGCACUAUGGUUGUUGUAACCAUGAUAAAUAUGACUAAGUGCAACUGAUAGCUCAAAGGUUACUUGGAGAGACUAGGGUGAAAACCUCCAAGUUUAGAAUGGAUUGGGAUGCAUACUAUGCUGGAUAUAUUGUUCUUUUCUGGGCUAUUUGCUGUUAGAGUCGUCAAUUAGGGCCGAGCUCGUAGGGCCGGCCCUUUUAGGCCCGAAAAAAUUGAGGACCGGGCUUCUAUUUUACCUUUAAAA